GGGAAGGAUCCGUUUUGGCGGGCGGUUGGCGUUGCGCAGAAGGCGGCGGCGGUGGUGGCUUGUGGUGCGGCCUCACCAUACAGGAACAGGGCAGACGUUAGCGUGAGUGAUCACUCUCAAUCCCGGAGAAUGAUUUUAACUGAUCAUUGUACUAAUAGGAAGGAGUCCAGGUCAUCCUGAGAAGAGUUCGCUUGUCCAGAGUCCAAGAUGCAGAUUUGUUGGAUUUCUGUAAGCCACUCGAAGCCACAUAUUCAUUUCUGAUGACAGCUUUACACUUGUGCUGGAAGAACACCCACUGUGACAACUGCUGCCUAUGUUUAGUCUGUCCAGGAGCUCUACCAACUAGCAUGUUUGCAGAAAAACCUACACUGUUCUUGUUAGCUAUGUAAAUAUUAGAUCUUUCUGAGUUUCUCUUCUCAGAUCUGCCAAUUUCUUUGGGGCAAAUUGUAUCCUGCAGUAGCCUCAAUUUACCCUUUGAAAUGAGGGAUUAAAGGUUUUAGACAUUCUUUGGGUUAUCUGAAACACAAUUCUUUUUGGAUCAGUAAUGUUUUAUAUAUGUCCACUUUAUGAUUUUUAAAAUUUUAUUCCCCCUAUGUAUUAGUUUCCUGUGGCUGCUAUAACAAAUUACCACAGACUUGGUGGUUUAAAACAAGAGGAAUUUAUUCUUCUCAAAAUUUUGGAGCCCAGAAGUCUGCAAUCAAGAUAUUGAGGCCCCUCUGGAGGCUCUAGGAGAGAGACUGUUCUUUGCCUCUUUUAGCUUCUGAUUAUGGUCAGCAUUCCUUGGCAUAUCUCUCUGCUCUGUUUUCACAUUGUCUUCUCUUUUGAGUACUUGCAUCAGAACUCUCCCUCUACCUGUGUAUUAUAAGGAUACAUAUGAUUGCAAUUAAGAAACCACUUGGAUGAACCAGGAUAAAUUUCUCCAAUCCUAUCUUUUAAUUCAACCUGAGAGAGCAGAUUUAAAAUAUAUUUUAUUCCUAAAGUGGCAGGUCCCUGAAAAAAAAAUGUAGAUUCAUGUUUAUUUUGAGACAGAGUCUCGCUUUGUCACCCAGUCUGGAGUGCAUUGGUGUGAUCUUGGCUCACUGCAACCUCCGCUUCCCAGGUUCAAGCUAUUCUCCUGCCUCAGCCUCCUGAGUAGCUGGGAUUACAGGUGCCUGCCACCGUGACCGGCUAAUUUAUGUAUUUUUGAUAGAGACAGGAUUUCACCAUUUUGCCAGGCUGGUCUAGAACCCUUGACAUCAGGUGAUCCGCCUGCCUCAGCCUCCCAAAGUGCUGGGAUUACAGGCAUAAGUCACCGCGCCCGGCCAGAUUCAUCUUUUAAUCACAUCUUUUGCUAUAUAAAAUAACAUUUACAGGUUCAAGGGAUUAAGAUAUGAAUCUCUUUGGGGGAGGGCCAUCAUUCAGACCACUACACAUUGGUUCCCUAACCUCUACCCAAAUAGAUUUGAGCUAAUUCAGAAAAGAAAAUGUUAUUUUUAAAGAAACAGAGGCAAGUGAAAAAAGGCUCAGAAACCUGGGUUCUUGUCCUGCCUCUGCCAUUAUCUAGUGGUGUAACCAUGGGUGAGCCAUUUGCCCUCUUUAGUCCUUAGUUUCUUCAUCUUAUAGGGAAGGAGUUGCAUAAGUGAUCGUUAACAAGCCUUCUAGACCUAAGACUUUAUGAAGUGAUUCCUAAGUCAUCUUGGAGUUUGUUUUUUAAGUCAAUAAUUUAAAAUGUGAAUCAAAACAUUACAAAUUACCACAUUUUGGGUGAGGGUAGUCCUGUUCUUGCCUAGGACUUGAAGGAUGGAAGACUGAGCUGUUGGCUGACUGUCAACUCCUUGGGGUAUUAACACAGGAUAACUAACCUGUAUUUGUUAGCUGUGUGCUUAAACCUUUCUGAAGAAAAGAUUUUCUACAAGGGAUGUAAUAGACUAGCUGGAACAUUUUCACUACAUUUCUAGUGAGACUAUAGACUGUGUAGCCUGAAUUUUCUUUCCAGUAGUAGUAGUUCAUCAAAAUUAAACACUGACAGAUUUUUUUCUACCUGAAACUAGGUCAUAGAGUAAAAAUUUUCACUUGCAGUCUUACUCUUCAGACUCACUAAAUGCCUGUUCCAUCCUGUUUCAUUGCUAGGAAGGACACUAGAUAAAGCCAUGAGCUUGAGAUGGUGUACUUGAAAGGACUUUCAAGAUCAGGUUUUAUAACACACUCAUUAUUUAUUUCUUCUGUGGAGAGGAGAAACCAAAUUGGAUUCAAGUAUUUUUCUGAUAGUAAUCUAUGUUUCUUAGAAUAAAGCAAGUUCAUAUCUGAGCCAGAGGGCAUAAUUAUGUCAGAAUAAAAUAUAAUUAUGUCGGAAUAAAAUGCCCUGUACUAAAGAGGUCAACUAACAGGCUGGGAAAUCUUAAGUUUUGUUUUUAAGACAAAUCCUUGAACUCUCUGUGCCUCGUUUCUCAUCCCUAAAUCUGUGCAACUCACCUCACAGGGAGUUGUGGAGGGUAAUAUACUGCUAAUUUGUUCAGUGUUUCACAACAAUAAAUUAUGCCUAAGAUCUGAUAAAACAUAGCAAACCUCAUUUAUGUAAGUAGAGACAAGCAUGGAUAAGACUUACAGAUAAUAAGGAAAAUUCAUUAAAAUUUUUUUAACUUC
rnacentral:sRNA from 1 species